UCCUGAACUUUUCAGUUGUUGGUUCCGU
rnacentral:piRNA from 1 species